ensembl:snRNA U6 U6 spliceosomal RNA
GAUGCUCACUUUGGCAGCACAUACUAAAUUUAGAACAAAACAAAGAUAUUAGCAUAGCCCCUGAACAAAGAUGACACCCAAAUUUGUGAAGUGUUCUCUUUAUUC